GACGAACGCUGGCGGCGUGCUUAACACAUGCAAGUCGAACGGAAAGGCCCUGCUUUUGUGGGGUGCUCGAGUGGCGAACGGGUGAGUAACACGUGAGUAACCUGCCCUUGACUUUGGGAUAACUUCAGGAAACUGGGGCUAAUACCGGAUAGGAGCUCCUGCUGCAUGGUGGGGGUUGGAAAGUUUCGGCGGUUGGGGAUGGACUCGCGGCUUAUCAGCUUGUUGGUGGGGUAGGGGCUUACCAAGGCUUUGACGGGUAGCCGGCCUGGGAGGGUGACCGGCCACAUUGGGACUGAGAUACGGCCCAGACUCCUACGGGAGGCAGCAGUGGGGAAUAUUGCACAAUGGGCGGAAGCCUGAUGCGGAAACGCCGCGUGCGGGAUGACGGCCUUCGGGUUGUAAACCGCUUUCGACUGUGACGAAGCGUGAGUGACGGUAAUGGGUAAAGAAGCACCGGCUAACUACGUG
rnacentral:rRNA from 1 species